GGCAAAAAGCCGGACAAACUUUGUCCGGCUUUUUGCCAUCCUGGAGAAACCGGCAGAGUCUGUCACACAGGACGGCUUUGAGCCGUGUGUGAUGCUGUGCGCAUGCGCAGCAUCAGACACGGCUUGAGAAAAAAACGUUGUGUGUGAAAGCUCCCCUUCACACACACGGUUUACUGGCUGCAAAGACGGCCAGGCGCCCGCCCGGCAGCCGGACCUUCCAGUGGUGAGACCCGGCUGCAACUCGGCAGCCGGGCCGGGACCGUGCCGUGUGUAAGGACACAUUGCGCUGCAUGUGUCUUUACAUCACGGCAGCGGUUUAAAGCCGGCCGGGUGUUUGCCGGGCGGCGCCAGCCGCCUCGUGUGUUUUCGGCCCUGACAGGGGCAGCGGCAGCCGGCAGCAGCAGAGUAGCAAAGCAGGGAGAUCGCCUCCCUGCUUUGCAGACUCUGAGCGGGUAGCGCCGGACCUGGGCGCCUCUCUCAUGUUUGGGGGGAGCGAGCUGCCCCCUUGCCCCCCCUAUUCCGACGCCCCUGCCCAGAAAGGAGCUUUUGUGUCCAUCUAAGAAAAGCAAUGAAAACAUUGUACCCUGGGCUUCCGAUUUCACUACGGCUAGUCCUAUAGUGAGACGAGCAACCCAGGCCUUAUGGCCCAUUGUGAAAUCUGACCCGGAUCUUCCUUGCUUUAGUGAGUUAAGACCAGUCACCGCUUUUGGGAGAGGCCGUAACCUACGGGACAGAUUGGUCCGAGCAGACAUUACAGGUUUUCCUUUCCUUCAGCGACUAUAACAGCCUCCCGUUUACUGGUCCCCAGUGUGCGCCCCGGUGAAACGCAGAAGUGGGGCCGUGUGGAACACAGUCAGUGCGGUCCCUAUGGUUACCAAGCUCGCGGAACCGGAAGUGCGAAGGGGAGACCAGCGGCGCAGAGUGUGUCUGAUUGCUCGCUUCAGGACAGGUUUGGGUAUCCCUCUGAGAUGGCUGCAGGUGGAUCAGUUUGUGUAAUUAACUAGGUGUGAACAGCAGCGUUGAGUACUACUUGAGUGUAAAAGCUUAACUGUUUGGAGUCCAGUCCAAUCCACCACCUACACCACACUGUCUCCCCUGUGGACCCUAUGGACCUCGAAGAAAGAGAGUUAACCAAGGUUUGGUGUCCGUUACAGGAAUUCAGAAGCCAGAGAUGUGGAUAAUUGUGGUGGUGUCAGCUUAACAUAGCUUUCCACAUGUGGUGUUGGCAUCUCAAUAGUGGUCUGGCAGGCCAAUGCAGCUGAAGGUCCUAUUUUAUAUU